rnacentral:rRNA from 1 species
GGGUUGUGAGGUUAAGCGACUAAGCGUACACGGUGGAUGCCCUGGCAGUCAGAGGCGAUGAAGGACGUGCUAAUCUGCGAUAAGCGUCGGUAAGGUGAUAUGAACCGUUAUAACCGGCGAUUUCCGAAUGGGGAAACCCAGUGUGUUUCGACACACUAUCAUUAACUGAAUCCAUAGGUUAAUGAGGCGAACCGGGGGAACUGAAACAUCUAAGUACCCCGAGGAAAAGAAAUCAACCGAGAUUCCCCCAGUAGCGGCGAGCGAACGGGGAGCAGCCCAGAGCCUGAAUCAGUGUGUGUGUUAGUGGAAGCGUCUGGAAAGGCGCGCGAUACAGGGUGACAGCCCCGUACACAAAAAUGCACAUGCUGUGAGCUCGAUGAGUAGGGCGGGACACGUGGUAUCCUGUCUGAAUAUGGGGGGACCAUCCUCCAAGGCUAAAUACUCCUGACUGACCGAUAGUGAACCAGUACCGUGAGGGAAAGGCGAAAAGAACCCCGGCGAGGGGAGUGAAAAAGAACCUGAAACCGUGUACGUACAAGCAGUGGGAGCACGCUUAGGCGUGUGACUGCGUACCUUUUGUAUAAUGGGUCAGCGACUUAUAUUCUGUAGCAAGGUUAACCGAAUAGGGGAGCCGAAGGGAAACCGAGUCUUAACUGGGCGUUAAGUUGCAGGGUAUAGACCCGAAACCCGGUGAUCUAGCCAUGGGCAGGUUGAAGGUUGGGUAACACUAACUGGAGGACCGAACCGACUAAUGUUGAAAAAUUAGCGGAUGACUUGUGGCUGGGGGUGAAAGGCCAAUCAAACCGGGAGAUAGCUGGUUCUCCCCGAAAGCUAUUUAGGUAGCGCCUCGUGAAUUCAUCUCCGGGGGUAGAGCACUGUUUCGGCAAGGGGGUCAUCCCGACUUACCAACCCGAUGCAAACUGCGAAUACCGGAGAAUGUUAUCACGGGAGACACACGGCGGGUGCUAACGUCCGUCGUGAAGAGGGAAACAACCCAGACCGCCAGCUAAGGUCCCAAAGUCAUGGUUAAGUGGGAAACGAUGUGGGAAGGCCCAGACAGCCAGGAUGUUGGCUUAGAAGCAGCCAUCAUUUAAAGAAAGCGUAAUAGCUCACUGGUCGAGUCGGCCUGCGCGGAAGAUGUAACGGGGCUAAACCAUGCACCGAAGCUGCGGCAGCGACGCUUAUGCGUUGUUGGGUAGGGGAGCGUUCUGUAAGCCUGUGAAGGUGUGCUGUGAGGCAUGCUGGAGGUAUCAGAAGUGCGAAUGCUGACAUAAGUAACGAUAAAGCGGGUGAAAAGCCCGCUCGCCGGAAGACCAAGGGUUCCUGUCCAACGUUAAUCGGGGCAGGGUGAGUCGACCCCUAAGGCGAGGCCGAAAGGCGUAGUCGAUGGGAAACAGGUUAAUAUUCCUGUACUUGGUGUUACUGCGAAGGGGGGACGGAGAAGGCUAUGUUGGCCGGGCGACGGUUGUCCCGGUUUAAGCGUGUAGGCUGGUUUUCCAGGCAAAUCCGGAAAAUCAAGGCUGAGGCGUGAUGACGAGGCACUACGGUGCUGAAGCAACAAAUGCCCUGCUUCCAGGAAAAGCCUCUAAGCAUCAGGUAACAUCAAAUCGUACCCCAAACCGACACAGGUGGUCAGGUAGAGAAUACCAAGGCGCUUGAGAGAACUCGGGUGAAGGAACUAGGCAAAAUGGUGCCGUAACUUCGGGAGAAGGCACGCUGAUAUGUAGGUGAAGCGACUUGCUCGUGGAGCUGAAAUCAGUCGAAGAUACCAGCUGGCUGCAACUGUUUAUUAAAAACACAGCACUGUGCAAACACGAAAGUGGACGUAUACGGUGUGACGCCUGCCCGGUGCCGGAAGGUUAAUUGAUGGGGUUAGCGCAAGCGAAGCUCUUGAUCGAAGCCCCGGUAAACGGCGGCCGUAACUAUAACGGUCCUAAGGUAGCGAAAUUCCUUGUCGGGUAAGUUCCGACCUGCACGAAUGGCGUAAUGAUGGCCAGGCUGUCUCCACCCGAGACUCAGUGAAAUUGAACUCGCUGUGAAGAUGCAGUGUACCCGCGGCAAGACGGAAAGACCCCGUGAACCUUUACUAUAGCUUGACACUGAACAUUGAGCCUUGAUGUGUAGGAUAGGUGGGAGGCUUUGAAGUGUGGACGCCAGUCUGCAUGGAGCCGACCUUGAAAUACCACCCUUUAAUGUUUGAUGUUCUAACGUGGACCCGUAAUCCGGGUUGCGGACAGUGUCUGGUGGGUAGUUUGACUGGGGCGGUCUCCUCCUAAAGAGUAACGGAGGAGCACGAAGGUUGGCUAAUCCUGGUCGGACAUCAGGAGGUUAGUGCAAUGGCAUAAGCCAGCUUGACUGCGAGCGUGACGGCGCGAGCAGGUGCGAAAGCAGGUCAUAGUGAUCCGGUGGUUCUGAAUGGAAGGGCCAUCGCUCAACGGAUAAAAGGUACUCCGGGGAUAACAGGCUGAUACCGCCCAAGAGUUCAUAUCGACGGCGGUGUUUGGCACCUCGAUGUCGGCUCAUCACAUCCUGGGGCUGAAGUAGGUCCCAAGGGUAUGGCUGUUCGCCAUUUAAAGUGGUACGCGAGCUGGGUUUAGAACGUCGUGAGACAGUUCGGUCCCUAUCUGCCGUGGGCGCUGGAGAACUGAGGGGGGCUGCUCCUAGUACGAGAGGACCGGAGUGGACGCAUCACUGGUGUUCGGGUUGUCAUGCCAAUGGCACUGCCCGGUAGCUAAAUGCGGAAGAGAUAAGUGCUGAAAGCAUCUAAGCACGAAACUUGCCCCGAGAUGAGUUCUCCCUGACCCUUUAAGGGUCCUGAAGGAACGUUGAAGACGACGACGUUGAUAGGCCGGGUGUGUAAGCGCAGCGAUGCGUUGAGCUAACCGGUACUAAUGAACCGUGAGGCUUAACCUUACAACGCCGAAGCUGUU